UCAGGAAACCGUCUGUGAUUUAUCGUUCUCUUUUAGACUAGGAGCUGCUAAAGAAGAUAGCUAAAGGAAGGCUGCUUUAAACUGCUUAACUGUUCCUACACCCUUACUUGGCAGUUAGUGAGGUGGAACAGCUGCUUCAGAUGAUAUACCUCAGGAUGAUGUGGCUGUAGUGUUUUUAUCAGUGGCUACUGAGAAAGGAGCAUCCAAAAGGCAGAUUCGCCUAAGAACUGGUGAGAAGGCAAAGAAUGGCAAUUGGAUGUAUCGGGUGGAUCCAGUGAAAUAUGAUUUGAAUGGGACAGCAUAGACUUUUUCUCCUUCUGUUUCUCCUCUGGACAUCUAAUUGAUCCCUCUGAUUCUCCUUGAUGUGGAAUUCUUUCCCAGAGGUGCAAGGCCAGUCUCCUUUCAAGGUUAAUUGCAAAUGUGGUAAGAGACAGACUAGCUUGGGGCAGCUCCGGUGAUACAGUAAUUAGUCUCGGAAGGAAGGCAGAAAGGCAACUGCCAGGAAGAGUUUACCCAACUCUAUACUACGUUUAAAGAUCUGCAUCAUAUGGGAGAUUUUGGCCAUAUUGCAAAUGUGGUACCUGUAUUCGUUUUCAGAGUAAGCAGGAGUGUGCGUGCCCCUAUGUGGGGCAGCCACGGCAGUGAUUUCUUUCUCCUCAAGUGCUUGGCGGCUUGGGGCUUUGCUGUACGUUGUGCCAUAGUGUGAGGCAUUUCUGAAAAUAAAUUAUUUCAAUGUAAGCCUGUUUGCAGCGUGUCUCAAAUUGACUUGGGAGCAGCGAUUGCUUCAGAAAUGUGCUCUUUGUGUUUAAAAAAAAAGUAAUUUGAGCAUUGGGGUUUGAUUUGCAGUGUAACAGGUGCUACAGUUCGGGGCCAUUUUCAAUCUUUGCCAUCACUGUUGGGCAGGUUGACACGACUCAGUGCUGCAGCAAGUUUUGUCUUUUGCCUUAAUCUGUGUUGCUAUUCUUAAUCAGGCUGCGCUUUCCAGCUUGUUUUCUGCUAUAUUUUUCCGUUUUGAAAUUCAGUUUUUAGUCUGGAGGUCAAACAACAUGAAUAUCGAUUUGAAGUAUUACCUUCUCUUCCUGUGUUUGCUUGAAACAUUGAUCCAGGAAUUCUUCAGGAAUUCUCUCUCAUCUUAGCAAGCUACAAAAAGUAUCUACUUAAACGACAAUAAAAACUGACUAUGUAAUAAAAAUACAACGUGCUGUCAGCAUGCAGUGCAUUGUUUAUCUUGUGCCAUUUUUUCCUAGAUUAUUUUUCUCCACACCCCUUUUUCCCACUUUUGAGAACUAAUCUAUUCUUCUGGCGUUAAGUCUUCAUUUGAUUUUUGUCAACCAUAUGUAACAAAUGGCAUAGAGAGAAAAGAAGUUUAAUAGAAGGAGGUUUCUGCUGUUGUUUUUCCUCUGAAAGCCAAAAAUAACUUCACUAAGUGAAUAGUGGUCCUCGUCAAGAGGUUUAUCUCUGUUCCUUUGGUUCUAUGUAAGUGAGGUUCUUACCUCACUUACAUUUUAUCACAGUAUGUAUAUGUUCAACUACUAGUAAAAAGU
ensembl:lncRNA